rnacentral:sRNA from 15 species
CGGAACGCGUUGUUUCGAUGAGGAUUCCCCGAGGUGCUGCCACCUCUCCCGUUAAGUCGGUCGGACCUCAUGGCAACGACCGUCCUG